rnacentral:rRNA from 1 species
CUUUUUUUUAACCGACCGCCCCCCGUGUUUAAAAAAAAACUUUUUUUUUUUUUAAAGGGGGGGGGGGGGGCCCCUUAAAAAAAGCCUUUUUUUUGAUUGAAAGAACGAGCGGGGGGACGAAAGCAAUACUGUCUCUUCUUUAUUAUCUAGAAAUUAACCUAUGGGUGAAGAGGCCUAUAUUAUAUUGAAGGACAAGAAGACCCUGUCGAGCUUUAGAGUAAAGCAGGAAUAUAAGUAUUAAAAAAAAUCAAUGACUACAUAACUCUUUAGUUGGGGCGACUAAGGAACAAAUAAAGCUUCUUUUAGUUUUUUAGAUCAAUAAAUUUAGAUCCAGCAAAGCUGAUUAAAAGAAUUAGUUACCGCAGGGAUAACAGCAUAAUCUCUCUUGAGAGACCUAAUCGAAAGAGGGGGUUGUGACCUCGAUGUUGGACUAAAAUAUCCUGAAGAUGCAGACGUCUUCGAAGGUUGGUCUGUUCGACCAUUAAAAUUUUACGUGAUCUGAGUUCAGACCGGA